GCUACAAGCCGUGCUAUCGUUUCCGACAAACUUGUCGGGGAAGGAAAGUCCGGACAGCGCAGAGCAAUGCACCCUGUGAAUAGCAGGGGUCCCGACUCGCUCGGGAACAGAGAGUGCCACAGAAAAUAACCUCGACCUACCCCUGUAUUUCUUCCCAGGAGGGGAUAAAGGGGUGGGUUGAAAGGGUGAAAACGUGAGGUAAGAGCUCACGACAUUUGAUGGUAACAUCAUUUGUGGGUAAACCUUGCAUGCUGAAAUGCCACGUAUAUCCCGAAUCAUUCAACAGCUGAAUUUUUAUUGGCAGUUGAAUGAGGUAAGCUGCUCGUUUACUACCAUCGGCUGAUGUUUUCGGGAAGGGUAGGCAGAUGGAUCCCGAUGAGUAAUUGUCGGGACAGAUAAAUGAUAGCACCCUGCGUUUAUUCGAGGGGACAGAAUCCGGCUUACAGGCUUGUAGCGUUU
rnacentral:RNase_P_RNA from 1 species